rnacentral:lncRNA from 1 species
UGGACGAUACUGCAGCAAGUUUUGAGGGUAAGCAAGCAGUGUAUGUACCCUCAGUAUAUUUAUUUAAAAUUGAAUGUAGCAUACCAAAUUAACGUUCUUUAAUAUUUGCAGUGAGUCGAAGUACAUUUAAGCGAAUCUGUAGAGAGAAUGGCAUAACAAGGUGGCCACGUAUACGAAAACAUGUAAAACCUGCAACUGCUACCUUAACUCAGAGUAUUGGCGUGAAGGAAGUUACAAUGGAGAGAAUGUCAGAUUCCUGCUGAGUCUUUCAUCGGGGAAAAAGGAUUUGGAAGUGGAAAUUGAGAAGAGAUUUGAGAUGCAAACCGGAAGUU